GAUGAACGCUAGCUACAGGCUUAACACACGCAAGUCGAGGGGCAUCAGGAAGAAAGCUUGCUUUCUUUUGCUGGCGACCGGCGCACGGGUGAGUAACACGUAUCCAACCUGCCCUUUACUCGGGGAUAGCCUUUCGAAAGAAAAGAUUAAUACCCGAUAGCAUAAUGAUUCCGCAUGGUUUCAUUAUUAAAGGAUUCCGGUAAAGGAUGGGGAUGCGUUCCAUUAGGUUGUUGGUGAGGUAACGGCUCACCAAGCCUUCGAUGGAUAGGGGUUCUGAGAGGAAGGUCCCCCACAUUGGAACUGAGACACGGUCCAAACUCCUACGGGAGGCAGCAGUGAGGAAUAUUGGUCAAUGGGCGGUAGCCUGAACCAGCCAAGUAGCGUGAAGGAUGAAGGCUCUAUGGGUCGUAAACUUCUUUUAUAUAAGAAUAAAGUGCAGUAUGUAUACUGUUUUGUAUGUAUUAUAUGAAUAAGGAUCGGCUAACUCCGUGCCAGCAGCCGCGGUAAUACGGAGGAUCCGAGCGUUAUCCGGAUUUAUUGGGUUUAAAGGGAGCGUAGGUGGACUGGUAAGUCAGUUGUGAAAGUUUGCGGCUCAACCGUAAAAUUGCAGUUGAUACUGUCAGUCUUGAGUACAGUAGAGGUGGGCGGAAUUCGUGGUGUAGCGGUGAAAUGCUUAGAUAUCACGAAGAACUCCGAUUGCGAAGGCAGCUCACUGGACUGCAACUGACACUGAUGCUCGAAAGUGUGGGUAUCAAACAGGAUUAGAUACCCUGGUAGUCCACACAGUAAACGAUGAAUACUCGCUGUUUGCGAUAUACAGUAAGCGGCCAAGCGAAAGCAUUAAGUAUUCCACCUGGGGAGUACGCCGGCAACGGUGAAACUCAAAGGAAUUGACGGGGGCCCGCACAAGCGGAGGAACAUGUGGUUUAAUUCGAUGAUACGCGAGGAACCUUACCCGGGCUUAAAUUGCAGUGGAAUGAUGUGGAAACAUGUCAGUGAGCAAUCACCGCUGUGAAGGUGCUGCAUGGUUGUCGUCAGCUCGUGCCGUGAGGUGUCGGCUUAAGUGCCAUAACGAGCGCAACCCUUAUCUUUAGUUACUAACAGGUCAUGCUGAGGACUCUAGAGAGACUGCCGUCGUAAGAUGUGAGGAAGGUGGGGAUGACGUCAAAUCAGCACGGCCCUUACGUCCGGGGCUACACACGUGUUACAAUGGGGGGUACAGAAGGCAGCUAGCGGGUGACCGUAUGCUAAUCCCAAAAGCCUCUCUCAGUUCGGAUCGAAGUCUGCAACCCGACUUCGUGAAGCUGGAUUCGCUAGUAAUCGCGCAUCAGCCACGGCGCGGUGAAUACGUUCCCGGGCCU
rnacentral:rRNA from 1 species